rnacentral:rRNA from 1 species
GUUAACCCUACACUGGAGUGCCAUUUAAGGGAAAGACUAAAAGAAAAGGAAGGAACUCGGCAAACAUAAGCCUCGCCUGUUUACCAAAAACAUCGCCUCCUGCAAAGAUCUAAGUAUAGGAGGUCCAGCCUGCCCAGUGACUAUAAGUUUAA